GCUGCGGCAGGCUUAUACAUGCAAGUCGUGGGGCAGCGCAGUGUAGCAAUACAUGGGCGGCGACCGGCAAACGGGUGCGGAACACGUACGCAACCUUCCUUUAAGCGGGGAAUAGCUUUCGGAAACGAAAAUUAAUACCCCAUAAAAUUGUGGUGUGGCAUCACACUAUAAUUAAAGCUCCGGCACUUAAAGAUGGGCGUGCGCCUGAUUAGGUAGUUGGCGGGGUAACGGCCCACCAAGCCUACGAUCAGUAACUGGUGUGAGAGCACGACCAGUCACACGGGCACUGAGACACGGGCCCGACUCCUACGGGAGGCAGCAGUAAGGAAUAUUGGUCAAUGGACGCAAGUCUGAACCAGCCAUGCCGCGUGGAGGAUGAAGGUCCUCUGGAUUGUAAACUUCUUUUAUCGGAGAAGAAACCCCGGAAUUCUUUCUGGGUUGACGGUACCCGAUGAAUAAGCACCGGCUAACUCCGUGCCAGCAGCCGCGGUAAUACGGAGGGUGCAAGCGUUAUCCGGAUUCACUGGGUUUAAAGGGUGCGUAGGUGGGUUGGUAAGUCCGUGGUGAAAUCUCCGAGCUUAACUCGGAAACUGCCGUGGAUACUAUCAAUCUUGAAUAUCGUGGAGGUAAGCGGAAUAUGUCAUGUAGC
rnacentral:rRNA from 1 species